ensembl:snRNA U4 U4 spliceosomal RNA
AGCUUUGCACAGUGGCAGUAUUGUACCCAAUGAGGUUUAUCCAAGGCACGAUUAUUGCUAAUAAUGGCACAACAAAUAACCUCUUGUAGACAUAUUUGAAUCCAUUCUUUUAGG